rnacentral:sRNA from 1 species
AGGGAGAGCACCACAGUUCUCAGAGCUGAUGGGUGUCUGGUCCUAGCACUCACAUUGAGGCCUACGGGCCUUAGAUUAUCCCUACAGCCUGGUGAGCCGGGAGCUGCGUGGGAUCAUCCGAGGGCUGCUGGCGAAGGCAGCAGGGUCUCUGGAGCUCUUUUUUGACCACUGUCUGUUCACCAUGUUGCAAGAGCUGGAUAAGACACCAGGUGAAAGGGGCACGGGAGGGAUGACCAUCUUGGGAGCCUCCUCCUUUUUUUCCUGCUUCCAGUACCACUCAGUGGUUCUGUUUCCAGCAGAGAAAUGUGCUAACCUUGACACUUUUUGGAAAGUGUGGAGGAAGUUAGGAGUCAGUGGACCUGGGGCCUGGGCUCACCGCUGACAAAUGGGAGAUUUCAGGUUUGGGAUGCCAAAUAAUGUGAGUAGGUGUGAGAAUGUGUAUCUCUCCAGGGGAGUCACUACAUGGUUACCGCAUCUGUAUCCAGGCCAUCCUGCAAGACAAGCCCAAGAUUGCCACCGCAAACCUAGGCAAGUUCCUGGAACUGCUGAGGUCCCACCAGAGCCGACCAGCAAAGUGUCUGACCAUCAUGUGGGCCCUGGGUCAAGCAGGUUUUGCCAACCUCACCGAGGGACUGAAAGUGUGGCUGGGGAUCAUGCUGCCUGUGCUGGGCAUCAAGUCUCUGUCUCCCUUUGCCAUCACAUACCUGGAUCGGCUGCUCCUGAUGCAUCCCAACCUUACCAAGGGCUUCGGCAUGAUUGGCCCCAAGGACUUCUUCCCACUUCUGGACUUUGCCUAUAUGCCGAACAACUCCCUGACACCCAGCCUGCAGGAGCAGCUGUGUCAGCUCUACCCCCGACUGAAAGUGCUGGCAUUUGGAGCAAAGCUGGAUUCCACCCUGCAUACCUACUUCCCUUCUUUCCUGUCCA